rnacentral:rRNA from 1 species
AGCGAACGCUGGCGGCGUGCCUAACACAUGCAAGUCGAACGUGAAAAGGGAAACCUGAGUAAAGUGGCGUACGGGUGAGUAACGCGUAGGUAAUCUACCCCAGAAUCUGGAAUAACCUGCCGAAAGGCGGGCUAAUACUGGAUAGAGCGAGGGAACUCGUAAGAGAGUUUUUCGGGAAAGGGAGCCCGCAAGGGCCUUCGUUCUGGGAUGAGCCUGCGUCUCAUUAGCUAGUUGGUAAGGUAACGGCUUACCAAGGCGAUGAUGAGUAGCUGGUCUGAGAGGAGGAUCAGCCACACUGGAACUGAAACACGGUCCAGACUCCUACGGGAGGCAGCAGUGGGGAAUCUUGCGCAAUGGACGAAAGUCUGACGCAGCCACGCCGCGUGAGUGAAGAAGGCCUUCGGGUUGUAAAGCUCUGUCGGAUGGGACGAACAUCUUCAUAGUGAAUAGCUAUGAGGACUGACGGUACCAUCAAAGGAAGCACCGGCUAACUCCGUG